rnacentral:rRNA from 1 species
UACGGAGGGAGCUAGCGUUGUUCGGAAUUACUGGGCGUAAAGCGCGCGUAGGCGGCCUUGCAAGUUAGAGGUGAAAGCCCGGAGCUCAACUCCGGAACUGCCUUUAAAACUGCAUAGCUUGAAUCCGGGAGAGGUGAGUGGAAUUCCGAGUGUAGAGGUGAAAUUCGUAGAUAUUCGGAAGAACACCAGUGGCGAAGGCGGCUCACUGGACCGGUAUUGACGCUGAGGUGCGAAAGCGUGGGAGCAAACAGG